rnacentral:rRNA from 1 species
UACGGGAGGCAGCAGUGGGGAAGUAUUGCACAAUGGGCGCAAGCCUGAUGCAGCCAUGCCGCGUGUAUGAAGAAGGCCUUCGGGUUGUAAAGUACUUUCAGUCGUGAGGAAGGUGUUAAGGUUAAUAACCUUAGCAAUUGACGUUAGCGACAGAAGAAGCACCGGCUAACUCCGUGCCAGCAGCCGCGGUAAUACGGAGGGUGCGAGCGUUAAUCGGAAUUACUGGGCGUAAAGGGCACGCAGGCGGUUAAUUAAGUUGGAUGUGAAAUCCCCGGGCUUAACCUGGGAAUGGCAUUCAAGACUGGUUAGCUAGAGUCUUGUAGAGGGGGUAGAAUUCCAUGUGUAGCGGUGAAAUGCGUAGAGAUGUGGAGGAAUACCGGUGGCGAAAGGCGGCCCCUGGACAAAAGACUGACGCUCAUGUGCGAAAAGCGU